GGUACCCCAUGUGAGACUGACAUAAAUGAAUGCAGAAGCAACCCCUGCCAAUUUGGGGUGGGGCGGUGUGCUGAGCUGUCCUCAGAGGAUAAAUAGAACACAUUGUAGGCCUGCCUUCUUACCUUGGAGCCUCAGGCUAUGUUUGUAUCUGUGGAUACAAACAUGGAUUCACAGUCGCAACCCUAGAAUAAUUGUCCUCUGAGUGGCUCCACCCAGCAGCUGACUGAAACAGAUGUAAAGACCCACAGCCAAACAUGAGACCAAGCCCAGGAAGUCUUCUGGAAGAGUUGGGGAAAGGAUUGGGGAACCUGGAGGGGACAGGGACUCCACAGAAGACCAUUAGAGUCAACUAUCCUAUACCCUUGGGAGUUCCAAGAGAUGAACUAUCAACCAAAGAGCAUACAAGGGCUGGACCUAGGCCCCUGCACAUAUUUAGCAGAUGUGCAGCUUUGUAUUCAUGCAGGUCUCCCAACAACUAGAGUGGGGGCUUAUCCUAACUCUGUUGCCUGCCUGUGGAUCCUGUUCCCCUAACUGGUCUGCUUUGUCUGGUCUCAGUGGAAGAAGAUAUGCCUAGUGCUACAGUAACUUGAGGUGCCUGAGUGGGUUGGUACCCAGGAGGUACUUCCCUUUUCUCAGAGGUGAAAGAGACAGGUUUUCACAACAUCUCCUGAUUGAAAAAUGGUCUACACCGGCUGUAAUAUCAGAACUCCUGGAGCAUCAGGCAGGAACCUCGCAGCAAGUGAUCUGGAGGGCACAGGAACGUCCACAACCAAUCUCAAUUUCAUAUAGCUAGAGAUGCCAUAAACUACAUUAGUGAAUAAGCUAUGUCAUCAACCGAUGAGGUUCUAUGUAAAUCUGAGAUGUCACAAAUGCUUGUGGAGGGCCACCAAGAUGGCUCCCUCCUUUGGUAAAGGUGCUGGCCAUCAAGCCUGAUGACCUGAAUUCAAUUCCUGGGGCCAACACACAGAAGGAGAGCACUGACUCCUGGAAAUUACUAUCUCUUACACACUGAAUAAAGAAAUAAAGGUUUUUUUU
rnacentral:lncRNA from 1 species